CCACCACCACUACCUUUUCCACCAUAACCCUUAUUGUUUCCAUCAGAUUUUAUUUUCAUGUCCUCAGGCAGUGGAAGUAUUUUAUCCACACACUUCCUGAAGCUGAAAUCAUCAACAGAAUCAUCAUCCCUAAUCAGAAAGAAGCAUCUACUCUUCCACAUUGGAUGAUAUCGGACUUGGAAAGCUUGGAUUCCAACACCAAUCUUUUUCUCAGGUUCUGAAUGGCCCUUCUUAAGCAAGUCCAGCAACACCAUCUGCUCAUACUUGUUGACAUUGAUAUUUGGAGGCCAAUAAUGAAGGAAAUUAUAGAAGUAAUCAAACAUCUCCACCGCGGAUCCGAAACUCUUCGGACCCAAACUAACCGGAGCUGUCUCCUCCUUCUCUUCCUCCCCUUCCUCGUCGUCUUCCUUAUGCUCUCCCUCAAGAUUCUCUAAUCUCUCUUCCUCAACUGACUUGUCCACCUUCUGCUUCUUCGACACAUCGUCUUUUCCUUCCUCCUCCCUUGCUCGUUUCGCGGCAUUCGCGGCCGAUUCCUCCACGAGAUCCAUGUCUUCUGAGACUGGGUCGAGUCGCCCCUGGUUGAACUCGGUGGGUUCAGCUGCUUUCUCUUCUGCCAUGGUUAUGUCAUGUGAUGAUAAGAGCUAAAACCCUAACUUUUAAAC
rnacentral:misc_RNA from 1 species